CACCCUGUCGCCCACCAAGCGCCUGGUCCACGCGUCCGAGCAGUACAGCAAGCACUCGCAGGAGCUGUAUGCCACGGCCACCCUCCAGAGGCCGGGCAGCCUGGCAGGUAAAGGCUCGCUGCCACCUGGCGCGGCUCACCUGGGCGCGUGGCGGGGGCGCAGAAGCAGCAGCCCGGCUUGAGCAGAAGCGAAGCCGGGCGCGCUGUCUGCCAGGUUGCAGUAGUGGCAGGAGAUAGAGAACGCCAGGGCUUCCCUGGAACAACUGGGUCCCGAGCCUCAUACAGCAGCCAGCAUGGGCACCUGGGCCCAGAGCUGCGGGCCCUGCAGUCCCCAGAACACCACAUAGAUCCCAUCUACGAAGACCGCGUCUAUCAGAAGCCCCCUAUGAGGAGUCUCAGCCAGAGCCAGGGGGACCCUCUGCCGCCAGCACACACUGGCACCUACCGCACGAGCACAGCCCCAUCUUCCCCUGGUGUCGACUCCGUCCCCUUGCAGCGCACAGGCAGCCAGCACGGCCCACAGAAUGCCGCCGCGGCCACCUUCCAGAGGGCCAGCUAUGCCGCCGGCCCAGCCUCCAAUUACGCGGACCCCUACCGACAGCUGCAGUAUUGUCCCUCUGUUGAGUCUCCAUACAGCAAAUCCGGCCCUGCUCUCCCGCCCGAAGGCACCUUGGCCAGGUCCCCGUCCAUUGAUAGCAUUCAGAAAGAUCCCAGAGAAUUUGGAUGGAGAGACCCGGAACUGCCGGAAGUGAUUCAGAUGUUGCAGCACCAGUUUCCCUCGGUCCAGUCUAACGCGGCAGCCUAUUUGCAACACCUCUGUUUUGGAGACAACAAAAUUAAAGCCGAGAUAAGGAGACAAGGAGGCAUCCAGCUCCUGGUGGACCUGUUGGAUCAUCGGAUGACCGAAGUCCACCGUAGUGCCUGUGGAGCUCUGAGAAACCUGGUGUAUGGGAAGGCCAACGAUGAUAACAAAAUUGCCCUGAAAAACUGUGGUGGCAUCCCAGCAUUGGUGAGGUUACUCCGCAAGACGACUGACCUGGAGAUCCGGGAGCUGGUCACAGGAGUCCUUUGGAACCUCUCCUCGUGCGAUGCACUCAAAAUGCCAAUCAUCCAGGAUGCCCUGGCAGUACUGACCAACGCGGUGAUUAUCCCCCACUCAGGCUGGGAAAAUUCACCUCUUCAGGAUGAUCGGAAGAUACAGCUGCAUUCAUCACAGGUGCUGCGUAACGCCACCGGGUGCCUAAGGAAUGUUAGUUCGGCCGGAGAGGAGGCCCGCAGAAGGAUGAGAGAGUGUGAUGGGCUUACGGAUGCCUUGCUGUAUGUGAUCCAGUCUGCGCUGGGGAGCAGUGAGAUCGAUAGCAAGACCGUUGAAAACUGUGUGUGCAUUUUAAGGAACCUCUCGUACCGGCUGGCGGCAGAAACGUCUCAGGGACAGCACAUGGGCACGGACGAGCUGGACGGGCUACUCUGUGGCGAGGCCAAUGGCAAGGACGCUGAGAGCUCUGGGUGCUGGGGCAAGAAGAAGAAGAAAAAGAAAUCCCAAGAUCAGUGGGAUGGAGUAGGACCUCUUCCAGACUGUGCUGAACCACCAAAAGGGAUCCAGAUGCUGUGGCACCCAUCAAUAGUCAAACCCUACCUCACACUGCUCUCUGAGUGCUCAAAUCCAGACACGCUGGAAGGGGCGGCAGGCGCCCUGCAGAACUUGGCUGCGGGGAGCUGGAAGUGGUCAGUAUAUAUCCGAGCCGCUGUCCGAAAAGAGAAAGGCCUGCCCAUCCUCGUGGAGCUGCUCCGAAUAGACAAUGACCGCGUGGUGUGCGCUGUGGCCACUGCGCUGCGGAACAUGGCCUUGGACGUCAGAAAUAAGGAGCUCAUCGGCAAAUACGCCAUGCGAGACCUAGUCCACAGGCUUCCAGGAGGGAACAACAGCAACAACACUGCAAGCAAGGCCAUGUCGGAUGACACAGUGACAGCCGUCUGCUGCACGCUGCACGAAGUGAUUACCAAGAACAUGGAGAACGCCAAGGCCUUACGGGAUGCCGGUGGCAUCGAGAAGUUGGUCGGCAUCUCCAAAAGCAAAGGAGAUAAACACUCUCCAAAAGUGGUCAAGGCCGCAUCUCAGGUCCUCAACAGCAUGUGGCAGUACCGAGAUCUGAGGAGUCUCUACAAAAAGGAUGGAUGGUCACAAUACCACUUUGUAGCCUCGUCUUCAACCAUCGAGAGGGACCGGCAAAGGCCCUACUCCUCCUCCCGCACGCCCUCCAUCUCCCCUGUGCGCGUGUCUCCCAACAACCGCUCAGCAAGUGCCCCAGCUUCACCUCGGGAAAUGAUCAGCCUCAAAGAAAGGAAAACAGACUACGAGUGCACCGGCAGCAAUGCCACCUACCACGGAGCUAAAGGCGAACACACUUCCAGGAAAGACGCCAUGACAGCUCAAAACACUGGAAUUUCAACUUUGUAUAGGAAUUCAUAUGGUGCGCCCGCUGAAGACAUCAAACACAACCAGGUUUCAGCACAGCCAGUCCCACAGGAGCCCAGCAGAAAAGAUUAUGAGACCUACCAGCCAUUUCAGAAUUCCACGAGAAAUUACGACGAGUCCUUCUUCGAGGACCAGGUCCACCAUCGCCCUCCCGCCAGCGAGUACACCAUGCACCUGGGUCUCAAGUCCACCGGCAACUACGUUGACUUCUACUCAGCUGCCCGUCCCUACAGUGAACUGAACUAUGAAACGAGCCACUACCCGGCCUCCCCCGACUCCUGGGUGUGAGGAGCGGGGCACAGGCGCUCCAGGAACAGUGCAUGUGCAUGCAUACCACAAGACAUUUCUUUCUGUUUUAUUUUUUUCUCCUGCAAAUUUAGUUUGUUAAAGCCUGUUCCAUAGGAAGGCUGUGAUAACCAGUAAGGAAAUAUUAAGAGCUAUUUUAGAAAGCUAAAUGAAUCGCAGUUAACUUGGAAAUCAGUAGAAAGCUAAAGUGAUCCUAAAUAUGACAGUGGGCAGCACCUUUCUAGCGUGAGCUGUAGAGUAACGAGAAGUGCUUUAUACUGAACGUGGCUGAUGGGAGGAGAGACGAGGCAUUCGGGCCGGUGGGGCGUGAGGGUUAUAGUUAAGCACAAGACACAGAAUAGUUUACACACUGUAUGGGGGACGGCUUCUCACGCUUUGUUUACUCUCUUCAUCCGUUGUGACUCUAGGCUUCAGGUUGCAUUGGGGUUCCUCUGUACAGCAAGAUGUUUCUUGCCUUUUGUUAAUGCAUUGUUGUAAAGUAUUUGAUGUACAUUACAGAUUAAAGAAGAAAAGCGCGUUGUGUAUAUUACACCAAUGCCGCCGUGUUUCCUCAUCUAUGGUUCUAAAUAUUGCUUCAAUUUCAAACUUUUGAAAGAUGUAUGGAUUUCCAGUUUUUCUUUUCUUUACUUUCUCCCAGUAUGUUUUAACAAAAAAAAAAAAAAAGCAGGAAAAAAGGAAUAUUUAGCAGUAUUGUUCGUUCUGAUAUGUGAAUUUGUUUGUGACAACUAAACAAGGCAUUCAGCAGUUUCUGACAAUUAACAUACAUCGUUCCACACUCCUUGUCAACAAAGUGCUUUUUCACUGCCUAAAAUUUUAGAUGUAGAUAUUUGAAAUAGAUUUUUUCAUUUAUACCAGUUUUCUUUAUGAUGAUACAGUGUUAAAAGAAAAUAAAUUACAAUUGAUCUGUC
rnacentral:sRNA from 1 species